AACGAACGCUGGCGGCAGGCCUAACACAUGCAAGUCGAGCGAGAUCUUCGGGUCUAGCGGCGGACGGGUGAGUAACGCGUGGGAAUAUGCCUCUUGGUACGGUAUAGCCUCGGGAAACUGGGAGUAAUACCGUAUGUGCCCUUUGGGGGAAAGAUUUAUCGCCAAGAGAUUAGCCCGCGUUGGAUUAGGUAGUUGGUGGGGUAAUGGCCUACCAAGCCGACGAUCCAUAGCUGGUUUGAGAGGAUGAUCAGCCACACUGGGACUGAGACACGGCCCAGACUCCUACGGGAGGCAGCAGUGGGGAAUCUUAGACAAUGGGGGCAACCCUGAUCUAGCCAUGCCGCGUGAGUGAUGAAGGCCUUAGGGUUGUAAAGCUCUUUCAGCUGGGAAGAUAAUGACGGUACCAGCAGAAGAAGCCCCGGCUAUCUCCGUG
rnacentral:rRNA from 1 species